UGGGGAAUAUUGCGCAAUGGGCGAAAGCCUGACGCAGCGACGCCGCGUGAGGGAUGACGGCCUUCGGGUUGUAAACCUCUUUCAGCAGGGACGAAGUGCGAAUGACGGUACCUGCAGAAGAAGCGCCGGCUAACUACGUGCCAGCAGCCGCGGUAAGACGUAGGGCGCGAGCGUUGUCCGGAUUUAUUGGGCGUAAAGAGCUCGUAGGCGGCUUGUCACGUCUGUCGUGAAAGACCAGGGCUCAACUCUGGUUUUGCGGUGGAUACGGGCAGGCUUGAGGCAAGUAGGGGAGAACGGAAUUCCAUGUGUAGCGGUGAAAUGCGCAGAUAUGUGGAGGAACACCGGUGGCGAAGGCGGUUCUCUGGGCUUGUACUGACGCUGAGGAGCGAAAGCGUGGGGAGCGAACAGG
rnacentral:rRNA from 1 species